GGAGGGUGCAAGCGUUGUUCGGAAUUAUUGGGCGUAAAGAGCGUGUAGGCGGUCCGGUAAGUCAGAUGUGAAAGCCCUGGGCUCAGCCCAGGAAGUGCAUUUGAAACUACCAGACUUGAGUACGGGAGAGGAGGGGGGAAUUCCCGGUGUAGAGGUGAAAUUCGUAGAUAUCGGGAGGAAUACCAGUGGCGAAGGCGCCCCUCUGGACCGAUACUGACGCUGAGACGCGAAAGCGUGGGGAGCAAACAGGAUUAGAUACCCUGGUAGUCCACGCCGUAAACGAUGAGCACUAGGUGUAGCGGGUAUUGACCCCCUGCUGUGCCGUAGCUAACGCAUUAAGUGCUCCGCCUGGGGACUACGGUCGCAAGACUA
rnacentral:rRNA from 1 species